GUGUUGCUUCAGUGGCACACAUACAAAAAUUGGAACAAUACAGAGAAAAUUAGCAUGAUUCCUAUGUGAUGAUAACACACAAGUGUGUGAAGCUUUCCAUAUUAAC